GAGAAACUGAAGAGAGUGCGUUGGUUGAUUUUCUGUAAACAAUUUGAGAGGAAUGAGGUAGGUGUGUCAUGGGUGUGUGUUAGGGCUGUUGUCUUCCCCUUGUCUCGUACACACCUGCUCCUGAGAGCAUCUUCCCCACCUGUGCCUCGUUUACCCUAAUUACCCCAUGCAUUUAACCUCCUGUCUCAUUCUUUCUGGUCGCCAGUUCAUUGUACCUUGUUUCCACGUCACCGACUUGUAGUAAGACCAGACCCUGUUCUGAUUAUUGCCUUUGCCUCACGUUUUUUGGAUACUGUUGCCUUUUCGGAUUGCCUGCCUGUGUACCGACCUCUGCUUGUUUAUUAAACCUGUCUUUUUUGAAACUGUCCAUUUGUAUUGGAGUCGUGCAUUUUGGGUCCUGUCCUCUGUUCCGUUCAUGACAGUUCAAUCAGCUGAAUUUACAGAGGCUAGCCACGCACCAUCGGUAGUGACAUUGUGCCGUACCAAUUUGCCCGCUGCUGUCACUGCCAAAAGAUAAUCUGCCGGAUUGUAAUGCUUGUGGAGCAGCAAAAUGUCUGGCCAACAGUGACACAGUCUUCAUACUUUUACGCAGGAAAUGUCCGGUGAAGCAAACUGGAAUGAGCGAGCCAUGUGACAGAGCACUGCAGCAUAGAAUCUGUCAACAUGAGCUAACAGAUGAGUCCAAAUAAGAGCGUGAGAGACUGACAGUGAGGAAUUGUUGGAAUGCUCUCUCAAGAGCUGCAUUCAGAAAAGGAAAAAGAAAGAGAGAAAGGGCCACUAAGGUGUUCAGAGAGAUGUCAGUAGAAGAAUUAUAUUAGGAAAGAGAUUUUAAAAUUAAAAAAAAAAUAAAAAAGUCAUGUGUGGCGUUAAGAAUGGAAAAUUGUAUGUUGAGGCAAAGGCUUCAUUCAGCCACAUAUUUUUAACUCUACUUUUAAGAGGUGAGGCUAAUUUACAUGUGGUGCUUUGAGAUACGAGUUUAAUUUUUUCCAUGGCCACGCUCGGAACUCAAAUCACUCGCGUCUCACAUCAUCUUUCCCCACUGAAAUAAAUAGAAAUGCCAUUCAUCUGUUCCAGAAAUGUGCUCUUUUUUUUGUAUUGUAAUUUGUUUUAUGUUAAAAAUGUACUAAGCUGUCCAUCCACCCACGUAGGCUUCCACCGUAAGCUUUAAGUAGCUUCUCGGAAGAUAUUGUGCUCCUCACAAUUGUCUGUCAAGAAUCACAUGUCGAUAUGUUGUGUGUGUGUGUGUGUGGAGGGGGAGUACUGAAAACAGUAUAGGAUGGAUGUGCGUGCAGAUGUCAUUGGCGUUUUGUAGAGAUCCAUUGACGAGGAACCACACCAUACAGUAUAAACGUCUCAGUGAGGAAUGGCUGAUGGAGUAUUUUCUCUGCCAACCUGCCCUCACCAUUCUGCAUCACAAGGAACACUCAUGGUCUCCACAGGACUGCAUUUGUACUCUUGACCCAUGCUCACCAAGUCAUUUACUAUGCGGUUAGUGUAUACUGUAUUCUAAUAACUGCUAAAUGGGGCUAAUAAAUUAAAGUCAUGAAUGGGGGAGGAAUUUACAAAGUCAUUCAAGUGUGCACAUGCCUCAGUAUUUGUUCUCAGUUGUGUGUCCCAACUUGUCAAGUAGGGUCAAAUAAGGAUACAUGCACUUGCUGCCAUGCAGCUUUAGCUACCUCAUUGAAAUAAAUGCUGUAAAUCUAUUUAAGG